GACGAACGCUGGCGGCGCGCUUAACACAUGCAAGUCGAGCGGUAAGGCCCUUUCGGGGGUACGACGAGCGGCGAACGGGUGAGUAACACGUGGGUGACCUGCCCUCAGCUCUGGGAGUAAGCCUGGGAAACCGGGGUCUAAUACUGGAUAUGACUCCAUGACGCAUGUUGUGGGGUGGAAAGCCUUGUGCGGCUGAGGAUGGGCCCGCGGCCUAUCAGCUUGUUGGUGGGGUGAGGCCUACCAAGGCGACGACGGGUAGCCGGCCUGAGAGGGCGACCGGCCACACUGGGACUGAGACACGGCCCAGACUCCUACGGGAGGCAGCAGUGGGGAAUCUUGCGCAAUGGGCGAAAGCCUGACGCAGCGACGCCGCGUGAGGGA
rnacentral:rRNA from 1 species